rnacentral:rRNA from 1 species
GACGAACGCUGGCGGCGUGCUUAACACAUGCAAGUCGAGCGGUAAGGCCCUUUCGGGGUACGACGAGCGGCGAACGGGUAGGAGUAACAACGUGGGUGGACCUCGCCUUUAGUCUCUGGGAGUAAGCCUGGGAAACGUAGGGUCGUAAUAACCGGAGUAUGACCCUACUGGCGCAUGUUGUGGGGUGGAAAGCCUUGUGCGGC